rnacentral:rRNA from 1 species
CCCUUAGAUGUCCUGGGCUGCACGCGCGCUACACUGAUGUGUCCAGUAAGCACCUAACCUCUUCCGAAAGGAACGGGUAACCUUUGCAAAGCACAUCGUGAUGGGGAUAGAUUAUUGCAAUUAUUAGUCUUGAACGAGGAAUUCCUAGUAAGCACAAGUCAUCAGCUUGUGUUGAUUACGUCCCUGCCCUUUGUACACACCGCCCGUCGCUCCUACCGAUUGAAUGUUCCGGUGAGCUCUUCGGACUGCGCGGUCUGCAGUUUCUGCGUUCCGUGCGGAAAGUUGCGCAAACCUUAACAUUUAGAGGAAGGUGAAGUCGUAACA